rnacentral:lncRNA from 1 species
GAGAGAGAGAGAGAGAGAGAGAGAGAGAGGAGUUUGAAGAGAGAGAGAGAAGAGUUUGAAAUUGAAAAGCAGUUGAGUUCGGUUUUAAUCAGACAAAAGUGGUAACAUUUGCCAAACUAUGAAGAGUCUGAAACUCUGAACAAGUGGAGGGAAAAUGUUGAGUGGGAAAGGAAAUACACAGUUUAUUGAAAUUUCUAUAAGGCCUGGGCUAUAUGAAAACAAAAUAAAGCCUCACUUCAAAUCCUUGUCUGGAAAGCACUCUCCACGGAAAUCUCUAGACUGGCUUGGCUCUAAAUCAUUUUUCAAUCCUAAUGAUGAAAUUUGAAACUAAAAAAUUGGUACAAAUAUUAUGGGUGUACGAACC